CACGUAGUUAGCCGGGGCUUCUUAGUCAGGUACCGUCCUCUUUCUUCCCUGCUGAUAGAAGUUUACAUACCGAGAUACUUCUUCCUUCACGCGGCGUCGCUGCAUCAGGGUUCCCCCCAUUGUGCAAUAUUCCCCACUGCUGCCCUCCCGCAGGAGUCUGGGCCGUGUCUCAGUCCCAGUGUGGCCGUCCGCCCUCUCAGGCCGGCUACUGAUCGUGGGCUUGGGUGGGCCGUUACCCCGCCAACUACCUAAUCAGACGCGGACCCAUCGUGUACCGUACUAGAUAAGAUCUAGGCUUUCCGCCCUGUGCCAUGCGGCACUGUGCGCAUAUGCGGUAUUAGCAGCCGUUUCCGGCUGUUACUCCCCCUGUACACGGCAGGUUGUCCACGCGUUACUCCACCCGUCCGCCACUCGUCAGCAAAGAAGCAAGCUUUCUCCUGUUACCGUUCGACUUGCAUGUGUUAAGCCUGCCGCCAGCGUUCAAUCUGAGCCAGGAUCAAACU
rnacentral:rRNA from 1 species